rnacentral:lncRNA from 1 species
CUUUCCUCCACGUUCAACACAUCUACAUGGUUAUGGAAACCAUCUGCGAUUAUGGCCUUGGCUUGGUUGACAAUUUGAACAUCUCCACAUGCUUCUGGGUCAGCCACACGAUGGAUUUUGAUUGAUCGAUCGGAGCUUCAUGGCAAGCUAUGAUUAGUCGAUCUGCCACGCCGGCUAUAGUAAGUUCCGAAGUGCAUCAUAACG